rnacentral:misc_RNA from 1 species
UCGGAAGGUGCGGCUGGAUCACCUCCUUUCUAAGGAGUAAUUGCCUACUGUUUAAUUUUGAGAGCUUAUUGUUCUCAAAAUUAGUACUUUGAAAACUGCAUAACAUUUAGUGAUGAUUAAAUAAACCAAUAUAAGAGAAGAAAACUCUUUAAAAAAUAACACUUUUAAUAACU